GACGAACGCUGGCGGCGUGCCUAAUACAUGCAAGUAGAACGCUGAAGGAGGAGCUUGCUUCUCUGGAUGAGUUGCGAACGGGUGAGUAACGCGUAGGUAACCUGCCUGGUAGCGGGGGAUAACUAUUGGAAACGAUAGCUAAUACCGCAUAAUAGUAGAUGUUGCAUGACAUUUGCUUAAAAGUUGCAAUUGCAUCACUACCAGAUGGACCUGCGUUGUAUUAGCUAGUUGGUGAGGUAACGGCUCACCAAGGCAACGAUACAUAGCCGACCUGAGAGGGUGAUCGGCCACACUGGGACUGAGACACGGCCCAGACUCCUACUGGAGGCAGCAGUAGGGAAUCAUAAGCAAUGGACGGAAGUCUGACCGAGCAACGCCGCGUGAGUGAAGAAGGGUUUCGGAUCGUAAAGCUCUGUUGUAAGAGAAGAACGAGUGUGAGAGUGGAAAGUUCACACUGUGACGGUAUCUUACCAGAAAGGGACGGCUAACUACGUG
rnacentral:rRNA from 1 species